rnacentral:rRNA from 1 species
GUGGGGAAUAUUGCACAAUGGGCGAAAGCCUGAUGCAGCAACGCCGCGUGAGGGACGACGGCCUUCGGGUUGUAAACCUCUUUUAGCAGGGAAGAAGCGAAAGUGACGGUACCUGCAGAAAAAGCACCGGCUAACUACGUGCCAGCAGCCGCGGUAAUACGUAGGGUGCAAGCGUUGUCCGGAAUUAUUGGGCGUAAAGAGCUCGUAGGCGGUUUGUCGCGUCUGCUGUGAAAUCCCGAGGCUCAACCUCGGGUCUGCAGUGGGUACGGGCAGACUAGAGUGCGGUAGGGGAGAUUGGAAUUCCUGGUGUAGCGGUGGAAUGCGCAGAUAUCAGGAGGAACACCGAUGGCGAAGGCAGAUCUCUGGGCCGCUACUGACGCUGAGGAGCGAAAGGGUGGGGAGCAAACAGGCUUAGAUACCCUGGUAGUCCACCCCGUAAACGUUGGGCGCUAGAUGUGGGGACCAUUCCACGGUUUCCGUGUCGUAGCUAACGCAUUAAGCGCCCC